rnacentral:rRNA from 1 species
GACGAACCGUGCGAACGUUGUUCGGAAUCACUGGGCUUAAAGGGCGCGUGAGGCGGGCUGUCGCGUCUGGGGUGAAAUCCUCCGGCUCAACCGGGGAAGGGCCCUCGGGUACGGACGGGCCUCGAGGGGGGUAAGGGGCGUGCGGAACUGUGGGUGGAGCGGUGGAAAUGCGUUGAUAUCCACAGGAACUCCGGUGGCGAAAGG